CAAAAGACAAAGAUAAAAACAGAGGCAGUGUUGGAAGAGCAAUCAUGAAAAAAUUUAACCUAAAAGUCUCAAUUCCAUGUAGGGCUGAACGAUUUAUCGUUUUCUGAUCAAAACCGCAAUUUCUGAAAGCGCGAUCAUGUGAUCGUCAAAGCGCCGGUUUUUUUGCAGUGCCCCUGACUGACCCAGGAUCUGUUGUGUUGACUAUUUUGCGGCACAUGCCCCUACGGCCAAGCUGACCAAUCAGAAGCGACAUGCUCCUCGUGGACAGGUCACGCUAACCAAUCAGUAUUAACCUGCUCCUCGUGUUUUGAAAUGGCGUCAGCGGAACCAGAAGCGGAGUUAAUCCCCAAGAAAAGCGGCACAGCGGUCAUUUGGGAGUAUUUCGGUUACGAGGCUGCAGACAUUCACCGGAAACAGGUACUGCGCAAAGUUUGCCGCUCUAAAGUUGCCACAUCAGGCGGAAACACGACCAACUUAUAUCGGCACUUGAAAAAUCAUCACUGACAUUUGCAUGAGGAGUGCAUGACGAAAAAGUCUAGUGAGAAGUCUGGCGAAAGUGAUUCUCAAGCCCACUGCAGCGAACAGACUACAAUUACAGCAUCCUUUGCCAGUGUAACUCCCUAUGAGAAGAACAGUGAAAGGCAGCGGGAGAUAAAGACCGCCAUAACACACUACAUCGCCAAAGAUAUGGUGCCUGUUAACACAGUCACCAAAGACGGAUUUAAAAACCUCCUCCGCACACUGGACAGAAAGUAUGUGAUCCCCUCCCGCAGCUACUUCAACCGGGUUGCCAUCCCACAGCUGUACACAGAGUGUAAAGAGAAAGUGGAAGCAGAGCUGCAAAACGUGGAAUAUUUCGCCUCAACUGCAGAUAUGUGGUCAAGCAGAACGACCAAACUGUUUCUGAGUUUGACUGUGCAUUUCGUAAAUGACAAGUUCGAGUUGAAAAGUCGCUGCCUGCAGACGGGAUACUUUCCCACAGACCACACCGGAGAGAAUAUUGCCCUGGGACUGAGAGUGUCUGUCCUUACGUGCGUCACCACAGACAAUGCCACAAUCAUCAUCAAAGCGGUGGAACUUAAUAAAUGGACCAGACUUCAAUGUUUUGGACACAGGCUGCAUCUUGCAAUUGAAAAUGCUGUUAAAGAUGAUGCAAGAGUUAAACGAGCAACAGGACUUUGCAAACAGAUGGUUGGUGUCUUCUCUCAUAGCUGGAAAAAGAAGACAGCGUUGAAAAAGGCACAGCAAGAAUUAAAUUUACCUGAGCACUCACUGAUUACAGUGUCCAACAAGAUGGGGUUCAAGGCAAAAAAUGAUUGGGAGGGUGUUGGAGCAGAGCAAGGCAUUGUCUCAGGUUCUGACUGAAGACAAGAAGAUGCGUCACCUGGUCCCCACUUGGCAGGACAUAGAUGUCCUUGAAUCAAUAAACAGAGCCCUUGGUCCUCUUCAGGAGUUCACAGAUGCUCUGUCUGGUGAAGCCUACGUAAGCAUGUCGUACCUGAAGCCAGUCCUCCAUCUCCUGAGAACAUCAAUCCUGACUGAAAAGGAUGAGGACACUGAUCUUACCAAGGAAAUAAAGUCAAGCGCUCUUGCUUACAUUGAAGAUAAAUACAGCGACCCAGCCACACAGGAGCUACUGGACAUUACUUUGUUCCUUAAUCCUAGAUUCAAGACUGACUACAUAAGAGCAGAGAAUGUCCCAAAGAUCAAAGACAGAGUGAAGACUGAAAUGGAAGAGGUGGUACGAAAGGAAAAGAGGACUCGUGUCAGCACCACAGAUGCCAUGUCCCAGGGUGCAACAGAGGCAGCGCCAUUCACCAAAGGAAAGGGAAAGCGGUCACUUAGCAGCUUCUUCAAGAGCAAGGCUGUCCCUCCAUCUUCCACUUUGCAGUUGGAGGAUGCCAUUAAAGCUGAACUGGACAACUACCUGAUGACUCCAACUAUCGAUGGAGAAGAAGAUCCACUGGUCUGGUGGAGAAUGCACAAUGUUAAUUUUCCAUGGCUGUGCAAACUGGCUCGUAAAUUCCUGUGCAUACCAGCCACCAGUUCGCCGUCAGAGAGGCUGUUUAGUGCUAGUGGCAAUAUUGUCACAUGUCAACGCUCAUGUCUGAAACCAUCAAAGGUUGACAUGCUGGUUUUCUUGACCAAAAAUCUGUAAAGAGUGAUGUAGAGAUGUCAAGGAAGCAAGUGUUAUUGUCAUUUUUUGUCAUACUUGUUGGUAUUACUUUACACAUUGUGAAUAAUGCAUUGAAGCAUAAUUUGAAGAAAAUCGCAAAUCGAAUUAAAAUCGCAAUAUC